UAGGCUGGCGGAGCCCGCCGCGUGAGUGAUGAAGGCUUUCGGGUCGUAAAACUCUGUUGUUAGGGAAGAACAAGUGCUAGACCACUGUUUGGCCCCUGGCCGGUUCCUGGCCAGAAGCCCGGGUUAAUUCCUGGCCACCGCCGCGGUAAUAA
rnacentral:rRNA from 1 species